GUUUGGGUAAUAUUACUUUGCUUUGCGCUACCCCAUGGAUUCAUAUUGGCUCAUUAAACUACUUUAUUGAGUUUCUUGGACAUCGUCUCAUCAAAUGAUAUACGACCAAGCUUGCUCCCGACCAAGCACGCUCAGAUUCCUUGGGAGCUCCUGCUAUCGGCAGCCGUCGAUGCAACGGAUCCCUGAGACGAAGAACAAAACAGCAUGCCACCUGACUGAUGACCCACCCACUGUCUACCCGGACCCAGGAGCUAGAAGGCCUUGAGAAAAAAGCCCGGGCAGGAUCCUGACGGGCACAGCAGAAUAUCAUCUUCGAUGCAUGUCCCACGGCCUGACUGAAUAAUAUUUAUAUAAUCAAUGGAAGGAAAAAACAGAAGAACAUUGAAAUUGGCUUGUAGGCAAGACGGAAGAUGGUCAAAACCGGUCAGAAAUUGAUGGCCUAGACACGGUUGGAGAGCUCUUGUUGGCAGAAACCACCUGAAGACGGUCAGAUGACAUCAGCAACCUUGUGGUGAUACAAUGAACCCGAGCGGCACCGAACUGAAAAAGUUGAAGAACUUGGCAUACAUACUAUGAGACCCAUUUGAUGACUGAUAUAAGCCAAGUUCAGACUGAUUAUUGUGAUAGUUGAUAACUAAGAAUACCUAAUGUGCUUUUAUGGUGUGUGAAAUAGUAUACUUUUUAUAAUUUAUUAAUUAAAAGUUUAAUAAAUGUUUUACUUACCUAAA